GAUGAACGCUGGCGGCGUGCCUAAUACAUGCAAGUCGAGCGAACAGACGAGGAUCUUGCUCCUCUGACGUUAGCGGCGGACGGGUGAGUAACACGUGGAUAACCCACCUAUAAGACUGGGAUCACUUCGGGAAACCGGAGCUAAUACCGGAUAAUAUAUUGAACCGUAUGGUUCAAUAGUGAAUGACGGCUUUGCUGUCACUAAUAGAUGGAUCCGGGCUGCAUUAGCUAGUUGGUAGGGUAACGGCUUACCAAGGCGACGAUGCGUAGCCGACCGGAGAGAGUGGUCGGCGGCCCUAGAACUGGAACAGGGUCCAGACUCCUACGGGAGGCAGCAGUAGGGAACCGGCCGCAGUGGUCGAGAGCCUUACGCAGCAGGGCGGCGUGAGUGAUGAAGGUCUUCGGAUCGUAAAACUCUGUUAUGAGGGGAAAACAGAUGUGUAAUUAGCUGUACACGUCUUGACGGUAACUAGUCAGAAAGCCCCGGCUAACUACGUG
rnacentral:rRNA from 1 species